rnacentral:rRNA from 2 species
AUUGAACGCUAGCGGCAGACCUAACACAUGCAAGUCGAGCGGCAGCAUAAAGAAAGAUUUACUUCUUUGAUGGCGAGCGGCGGACGGGUGAGUAAUAUCUGGGGAUCUGCCUAAUGGAGGGGAUAACUAUUGGAAACGAUAGCUAAUGCCACAUAAUGUCAUAAGACCAAAGUGGGGGACCUUAGGGCCUCACGCCAUUAGAUGAACCCAGACGGGAUUAGCUAGUAGGUGAAGUAAUGGUUUACCUAGGCAACGAUCCCUAGCUGGUCUGAGAGGACGGCCAGCCACACUGGAACUGAGACACGGUCCAGACUCCUACGGGAGGCAGCAGUGGGGAAUAUUGCACAAUGGGGGGAACCCUGAUGCAGUCAUGCCGCGUGUGUGAAGAAGGCCUUCGGGUUGUAAAGCACUUUCGGUAGGGAGGAAAAUAAUAAUGUAAAUAACAUUAUUAUCUGACGUUACCUUCAGAAGAAGCACCGGCUAACUCCGUGCCAGCAGCCGCGGUAAUACGGAGGGUGCAAGCGUUAAUCGGAAUUACUGGGCGUAAAGCGUAUGCAGGCGGUUUAUUAAGUCAGGUGUGAAAUCCCUAGGCUUAACCUAGGAACUGCAUUUGAAACUGAUAAACUAGAGUCUCGUAGAGGGGGGUAGAAUUCCAGGUGUAGCGGUGAAAUGCGUAGAGAUCUGGAGGAAUACCAGUGGCGAAGGCGACCCCCUGGACGAAUACUGACGCUUAGAUACGAAAGCAUGGGGAGCAAACAGGAUUAGAUACCCUGGUAGUCCAUGCCGUAAACGAUGUCGAUUUGAAGGUUGUAACCUUGAGUUAUAGCCUUCGGAGCUAACGCGUUAAAUCGACCGCCUGGGGAGUACGGCCGCAAGGUUAAAACUCAAAUGAAUUACGGGGGCCCGCACAAGCGGUGGAGCAUGUGGUUUAAUUCGAUGCAACGCGAAGAACCUUACCUACUCUUGACAUCCAAAGAAUUGAGCAGAGAUGCUUAAGUGCCUUCGGGAACUUUGAGACAGGUGCUGCAUGGCUGUCGUCAGCUCGUGUUGUGAAAUGUUGGGUUAAGUCCCGCAACGAGCGCAACCCUUAUCCUUUGUUGCCAGCAAUUCGGUUGGGAACUCAAAGGAGACUGCCGGUGAUAAACCGGAGGAAGGUGGGGAUAACGUCAAGUCAUCAUGGCCCUUACGAGUAGGGCUACACACGUGCUACAAUGGCGUAUACAAAGAGAAGCAACCUCGUGAGAAUUAGCAAACCUCAUAAAGUGCGUCGUAGUCCGGAUUGGAGUCUGCAACUCGACUCCAUGAAGUCGGAAUCGCUAGUAAUCGUGAAUCAGAACGUCACGGUGAAUACGUUCCCGGGCCUUGUACACACCGCCCGUCACACCAUGGGAGUGGGUUGCAAAAGAAGCAAGUAGCUUAACCUUAUGGAGGGCGCUUACCACUUUGUGAUUCAUGACUGGG